rnacentral:rRNA from 1 species
GGAAUAUUGGUCAAUGGGCGCGAGCCUGAACCAGCCAAGUCGCGUGAGGGAUGACGGCCCUACGGGUUGUAAACCUCUUUUGUCGGGGAGCAAAUUCCGCCACGUGUGGCGGAGUCGAGAGUACCCGAAGAAAAAGCAUCGGCUAACUCCUUGCCAGCAGCCGCGGUAAUACGGAGGAUGCGAGCGUUAUCCGGAUUUAUUGGGUUUAAAGGGUGCGUAGGCGGACUGUCAAGUCAGCGGUAAAAUUGCGGGGCUCAACCUCGUCGAGCCGUUGAAACUGGGUGCCUUGAGUGGGCGAGAAGUACGCGGAAUGCGUGGUGCAGCGGUGAAAUGCAUAGAUAUCACGCAGAACUCCGAUUGCGAAGGCAGCGUACCGGCGCCCAACUGACGCUGAAGCACGAAGGCGUGGGUAUCGAA